GGAGAAAAGCAGGGGAUCGAAAGACCUCGCGUUAUUGGAGCGGCCGAUGCCGGAUUAGCUAGUUGGUGAGGUAAAGGCUCACCAAGGCGACGAUCCGUAGCUGGUCUGAGAGGACGACCAGCCACACUGGGACUGAGACACGGCCCAGACUCCUACGGGAGGCAGCAGUGGGGAAUUUUGGACAAUGGGGGCAACCCUGAUCCAGCCAUGCCGCGUGAGUGAAGAAGGCCUUCGGGUUGUAAAGCUCUUUCGCAAGGAAAGAAAACUUAUCUACUAAUACUAGGUGAGGAUGACGGUACCUUGAUAAGAAGCACCGGCUAACUACGUGCCAGCAGCCGCGGUAAUACGUAGGGUGCGAGCGUUAAUCGGAAUUACUGGGCGUAAAGCGUGCGCAGGCGGUUUCGUAAGCCAGAUGUGAAAUCCCCGGGCUCCAACCUGGGAACUGCGUUUGAAACUUACCAAAAA
rnacentral:rRNA from 1 species